GUUCUGGCUUCUGGGAUAGCUGUGCAGCCUGCAUUCAUUCCACAAGACGCACACACAUUUCCACUUACUUUUUAGGAGGGGAAAAGUGAGUCUUAUAGAGCAAAAAAUACGGUGUAUUUUGCAUCAGGCAGGGGAGGUCAUUGAAGGUGAAGUCUUUACCUUCCUCACAUGAGGGUCAGGGGCAGAGGAUAAGCACUAGGUGAGAUUCUGAAACAAUGCUGCUUUUCUUAACGCAUCUCUUGCUGAUUUUCCCUGUGCAAGUUGUAAAGCACCGAGUCGGGAGAUUCCACCCUCCUCCCUCCAGCAUCCCUAUGUCAUUUCCAGUGCCUGUAAACACCUACACAAUCACAUGCAAACGCUGACUUGUUUGGUCCAAGUUACAAAAACCUGUGCCUUUAAAACAACAAACCUCCCUUCCGAGGCUUAGCAUGAAUGUACACAUGUAGCAGCACAUGGGUGGUAGAAUGACUGCCACUUCUACACUGUGGAACAAGGCAGUUAAACAACAUGGUGUAGCCUCAUACCAGUCAGACUAUUCACCAGUCUAGCCCAGAACUGUCUGACUGGCAGCGGUUACAGAGGCAUUUUCUAUCACCUGUUACCCAGUUCCCUCUUAACUGGAGAGGCUUGGGAUCAAACCUUGCACCUUCUGCAUGUAAAGCAUGGGUUCUGGUCCCUUCCCAAAUAUUGCCAUUCAGCCCUUUCUGCUCUUUCUGCUACCUGCAGUGAUUCGUUUAUUUUUAACACAGGAUAGCUUCCAAAAUGCACAUCCUCCAUCUACAGCUUUCCAGAAGUGGAAGGGUUCAUACCUCUGGGGUUAGGAUUCUGCCCCCUGAUACUGCUGCAUAUGUAGAUUCAGCCUCGGGGGGUCCUCUGUGGGAAAAGCUGCUGCAUUACGCACACACACACACACUUUUCAUCCCUGCGAGCUAGUCCAACACAACCUGACAAUGCAGUUAAUGGAAGAACAACAAAACAGAUGUUAUACAUCCCAUUGGAAGUUGUAGGUGUAGUUUACAUUCAGUCACAACCCAAAUAAAUUGACCGACAUCGCAGAUAUGGGAAUGGGUCAUUAAUCAGAUAGACUCUACCGAGUGAAAUAAAAAUGUUAUUUUAGGUUGUAACAUUAUGAUGGUUAACCUAAAAUGCUGAAUACAAUUU